rnacentral:rRNA from 1 species
GAGCGAGAAACUACCUAUGAUCCUUCGGGAGAUUAGACUAGUGGACAGCGGCGGACGGGUGAGUAACGCGUAAAUAACCUGCCAUACACACAAGGAUAGCCAUCGGAAACGGUGAUUAAUACUUGAUGAAGCUACACAUUCGCAUGAAUGAGUAGUUAAAGAAUUUUGGUGUAUGAUGGAUUUGCGUUUGAUUAGCUAGUUGGUAAGGUAAAGGCUUACCAAGGCGAUGAUCAAUAGCCGGCCUGAGAGGGUGAACGGCCACACUGGAACUGAGACACGGUCCAGACUCCUACGGGAGGCAGCAGUGGGGAAUAUUGCACAAUGGAGGGAACUCUGAUGCAGCAACGCCGCGUGAACGAAGAAGGCUUUCGAGUCGUAAAGUUCUGUUAUAGGGGAAGAAGAAGUGACGGUACCCUAUGAGAAAGCCACGGCUAAUUACGUGCCAGCAGCCGCGGUAAUACGUAAGUGGCAAGCGUUAUCCGGAAUUACUGGGCAUAAAGCGUUCGUAGGCGGUUAAACAAGCCAAUAGUGAAAUCCACCAGCCUAACUGGUGUCAGCUAAUGGAACUGUAUAACUUGAGUACAGGAGAGGAAAGUGGAAUUCCUAGUGUAGUAGUCGAAAUGCGUAGAUAUUAGGAAGAACAUCAGUAGCGAAGGCGACUUUCUGGACUGUAACUGACGCUGAGGAACGAAAGCGUGGGGAGCGAACAGGAUUAGAUACCCUGGUAGUCCACGCCGUAAACGAUGGAUACUUGGUGUUGGCCGUAAAGGUCGGUGCCGGAGCAAAUGUAUUAAGUAUCCCGCCUGGGGAGUACGGUCGCAAGGCUGAAACUCAAAAGAAUUGACGGGGACCCGCACAAGCAGCGGAGCAUGUGGUUUAAUUCGAAGCAACGCGAAGAACCUUACCAAAUCUUGACAUAUCAAAGCUAUCUGAGUAAAAUUGGAGUUCCAUUUGGACUUUGACUACAGGUGGUGCAUGGUUGUCGUCAGCUCGUGUCGUGAGAUGUUGGGUUAAGUCCCGUAACGAGCGCAACCCUUAUUUUUAGUUGCUNACAAGUAGUGUUGAGGACUCUAGAGAGACUGCCGAUGAAAAAUCGGAGGAAGG